UACGAAGGGGGCUAGCGUUGCUCGGAAUCACUGGGCGUAAAGGGUGCGUAGGCGGGUCUUUAAGUCAGGGGUGAAAUCCUGGAGCUCAACUCCAGAACUGCCUUUGAUACUGAAGAUCUUGAGUUCGGGAGAGGUGAGUGGAACUGCGAGUGUAGAGGUGAAAUUCGUAGAUAUUCGCAAGAACACCAGUGGCGAAGGCGGCUCACUGGCCCGAUACUGACGCUGAGGCACGAAAGCGUGGGGAGCAAUCAGG
rnacentral:rRNA from 1 species